AUUGAACGCUGGCGGCAGGCCUAACACAUGCAAGUCGAACGGUAACAGGAAGCAGAUUGCUGCUUCGCCGACGAGUGGCGGACGGGUGAGUAAUGUCUGGGAAACUGCCUGAUGGAGGGGGAUAACUACUGGAAACGGUAGCUAAUACCGCAUAACGUCGCAAGACCAAAGAGGGGGACCUUAGGGCCUCUUGCCAUCGGAUGUGCCCAGAUGGGAUUAGCUAGUAGGUGGGGUAACGGCUCACCUAGGCGACGAUCCCUAGCUGGUCUGAGAGGAUGACCAGCCACACUGGAACUGAGACACGGUCCAGACUCCUACGGGAGGCAGCAGUGGGGAAUAUUGCACAAUGGGCGCAAGCCUGAUGCAGCCAUGCCGCGUGUAUGAAGAAGGCCUUCGGGUUGUAAAGUACUUUCAGCGGGGAGGAAGGGAGUAAAGUUAAUACCUUUGCUCAUUGACGUUACCCGCAGAAGAAGCACCGGCUAACUCCGUG
rnacentral:rRNA from 1 species